rnacentral:rRNA from 1 species
GACGAACGCUGGCGGCGUGCUUAACACAUGCAAGUCGAACGGAAAGGCCCUGCUUUUGUGGGGUGCUCGAGUGGCGAACGGGUGAGUAACACGUGAGUAACCUGCCCUUGACUUUGGGAUAACUUCAGGAAACUGGGGCUAAUACCGGAUAGGAGCUCCUGCUGCAUGGUGGGGGUUGGAAAGUUUCGGCGGUUGGGGAUGGACUCGCGGCUUAUCAGCUUGUUGGUGGGGUAGUGGCUUACCAAGGCUUUGACGGGUAGCCGGCCUGAGAGGGUGACCGGCCACAUGGGGACUGAGAUACGGCCAAGACUCCAACGGGAGGAAGAAGUGGGGAAUAUUGAAAAAUGGGCGGAAGCCGGAUGCAGCAACGCCGGGUGCGGGAUGACGGCCUUCGGGUUGGAAACCGCUUUCGCCUGUGACGAAGCGGGAGUGACGGUAAUGGGUAAAGAAGCACCGGCUAACUACGUG